CGGGGUGUAGCUCAGCUUGGCAGAGUGCGUGAAUGGGGUUCACGAGGCCCCGGGUUCGAAUCCCGGCACCCCGA
rnacentral:tRNA from 1 species